GUUGAAGUCGUUCAAAAUGCUGCACCCCCACAUCCAUCGAACACCGAACCCUGCAACAACAGGUGCUUCGAACAACAUCAGCAACGACGAAAACAAUUCCAAACCCCCAAGUAAGCUAAGUAGCUCCCAAAGAACACUUUUGAAAACAUUCGGAUCGUUCAUUUGUAUCAUGCUAGUGUUCUAUCUGUGUUGGCUUGUUUUACACCAGUCGGAACAGUAGCUCCAAAGUCGAGUAAGAGCCCACAUUAGCGAGCAUCACCCACCCUCGAAAACAAGAUCGCCACCGCAGGCUCCAGCCUUAACUGGGAAUACCCCAUCAUCGCCACUAUCGGAACACAAUCAGCGGAAAAAAGGAAUAAAACCCAAUCACCACGGAGGGAAAACCUCAAAAAUUGGAAAAGUCAUUAGCGGCAGCUGGUGGUCCCGACUAGGGGGGUGUGAUUAUUACCAUUUUUACCGAUGGGGGUACCCAUGGGCGUAGCCAGGGGGAUUCACGAAGGAAUUCAGCAAGAUUCACCAAGAAUUUCUUCUUAGAUUUUUUUUUAUUUUCACUAGAUACUUUAGUUUGUUCAGCGUAUUUCAUAAAUGAACAUGUAAAGGUUUAUUUUUCUGCCA